AAAGAUCGCAGCCUCAUUGCACUCGUCAGCUCCUACGGUCCGAUAUGUGUAGGAGCUGACGAGUGCAAUGAGGCUGCGAUCUUU
rnacentral:misc_RNA from 1 species